GUGGUGGAGCAUGUGGUUUAAUUCGAAGAUACACGAAGAACCUUACCUGGCCUUGACAUGGUAGGAACCCUUAAGAGAUUAGGGGGUGCUAGCUUGCUAGAACCUACACACAGGUGCUGCACGGCUGUCGUCAGCUCGUGUCGUGAGAUGUUGGGUUAAGUCCCGCAACGAGCGCAACCCUCGUCCUUAGUUGCUAACAGUUCGGCUGAGCACUCUAGGGAGACUGCCUUCGCAAGGAGGAGGAAGGUGAGGACGACGUCAAGUCAUCAUGGCCCUUACGGCCAGGGCUACACACGUGCUACAAUGGGGCGUACAGAGAGCUGCGAUACCGCGAGGUGGAGCCAAUCUCUUAAAGCGUUUCUCAGUUCGGAUUGUUCUCUGCAACUCGAGAACAUGAAGCUGGAAUCACUAGUAAUCGCAGAUCAGCUAUGCUGCGGUGAAUACGUUCCCGGGUCUU
rnacentral:rRNA from 1 species